rnacentral:rRNA from 1 species
CAGCCGCCACGGUAAUACGGAGGGUGCAAGCGUUAAUCGGAAUUACUGGGCGUAAAGCGCACGCAGGCGGUCUGACAAGUCAGAUGUGAAAUCCCCGGGCUUAACCUGGGAACUGCAUUUGAAACUGUCAGGCUGGAGUCUUGUAGAGGGGGGUGGAAUUCCAGGUGUAGCGGUGAAAUGCGUAGAGAUCUGGAGGAAUACCGGUGGCGAAGGCGGCCCCCUGGACAAAGACUGACGCUCAGGUGCGAAAGCGUGGGGAGCAAACAGGAUUAGAUAUCCCGGUACUCCCUGUCUCUUAUAA